GAGGCUUCACAGCAUUUGACUCUCUUGUCCUUCAGCCUCCUGCCAUGUGAGGACACAGCAUUCCCUGCUCUGUAGGAUGCAGCAAUAGGACACCAUCCUGGAAGCAGAGAGCAACUGUCACAGACAACUGAACUUGCCAGUACCUUGCUCUUGGACGUCUCAGCCUCCAGACUGUGAGAAACAAGAAACCAGAUGUCCAAAGAAGCGAUGUUACCAAGGCCACAGCAAGUUGACUGGCAAGGCUGGGACUAGUACACCGCAUUCUGACCCCAGCCACUGCUCUCCUGAGAGAGGGAACUACUGCUGUGUGUCUACGACCGUAAAACAGGAGGAGAAACAGGAGAAAUGGAAGGAGGGUGCGUAAUGGAUCCAGCUCCCCUAAUGCUCUCCAUUUUACUCCCUACCACUGUCUUAUCAGAGUGUCCUCCCUAACACCAUGAACACUGUUUCUUAGCAAAACUCAGAAGUGUUGCAAGGUUGACGCCAGGCCAUGCCACCACCCCCAGGCCCUAGCCGAAGAGCCAUCCUGGGAUCUGUGAGGCCUGGGUGUCUGUCAGUGAGCUGCAGGAACCACGGACGGUUCAAGGUCUUUGGAGAAGGAUGCCUCUCUGCCACCUCAGCUGGGCCUGGAGGGGGCCGUGCUGUGCAGCGGCUCUGGAUGUCAUCAGCAGCCUGGAAGGCAGGACUGGCCUGCGAACCCUUGCACUUCUGCUUGGAGAAGAGAGUAGAUACGGAUCAUUAUUGUCAGAUUCCUGCCACAGUUGUUCUUCUCUUGAAUAAAUUACUGUUCUUGGAGAUGCAGGGUCUAAGGGAGAAACUGAUUGUAAAGAUUUUGCAAGGAAACAUAAGGGUAACAAUAGAAAGAAAAUAAGUCUUAACAUUACAUAGACCUAUGUUCUACUCCUGGUUCUGUCCCUUAUUAUCUGAGUGACUUUAACUUACUGGGUCUUAAUUUCUGUUUCUGUAAAGAGGGGCCCAUCUAACUUGGGAAGCCAUUGAGAGAAUUAUGCAGUGUAACAUACACCCGCCAGCUUGGAGUCUGGCACUAGCUGGCAUGCAAUCAAAUAUCAUUAGGAGGCGGAGCAUGGGGUUGGGAGAGGGUAACCUCCGUAAGUGCCAGAGCCGGAGGGAGCUCUGGAGAGCAGGAUGCCUGGUGUCUUACAGCCCCAAGAGGGAGCAGCUGGGGGAGUCUUGAGCUCACGGUUGCCACCUUCUAUCACAUGGCCAGUCCUCUCUGGACAUAGCUUAGAGAGUUGUGGCAGGCACCUGACCCGAAGACAGCUGAUCUGUAGGCUGGGCUAACUGUUCUAUGAGAUGGCUUAGCCCAAAAGGUUAAGUCCAAACCAGAAAGAUGGAUGUUUCCAAGCCAAUCAGAUUUUCUCUCUGUCUCUGAAUGGUCCAUGAGAGACAGAAGCAAGCAAGCAUCCAAGGAGAAGCGUGUGUGCACAUGCGCACGUGCGCGCGCGCACACACACACACACACACACAAGGAACCUAGCUCCAUCUACAGUAAGAUGAGCACUAGAGCUAAGGACAGCAAGCCCCUGCAGCUGCCACAGGUGUACACUGAACCUGCAAAGGGCACCCUGGACUCUGAAUGUCCUUCCAGGUGCAGAACUGUAUGUAAGUCUCUGUUUCUUGAGGCAGAAAGCUAACAGAGCACAAAGGUGCCUAGAGCAAUGCCCCACUCACCAGAAGAUCAUGCACCUAGGAAGCUGGACCUCAGAGAAGCCCAGGGUCACUCACUAAACUAGUGAUAUAGCUGAGGCUGAAAACCAGGCCACCUGGCUCUUAGUUAUGGAGAAGAAGAGCCAAAUUUGGGUUCCUCCAAGAGCUGAUAGUCACGGUUUUGUAGGGAAGGGGUGAAAGGCAGGGUGAGUCGAGGAGUUUCAGACACAAUCAUUCUUGACACGAGAUCCAGUUACUCCAAGGUACC